rnacentral:ncRNA from 1 species
AUCGCCAGCACCUUGGCAAUAUAGGGGAUCAGCGGCAGAUUCAGCACCAGCAGCACCAGGUUGCCGAUGUACAUCGAGAUGAUCACCGCCCAGAAGAUCUGCGGCUCGUCGAUCAUCAGCCGCGGUCC